rnacentral:rRNA from 1 species
GGUUAAGUUAGAAAGGGCGCACGGUGGAUGCCUUGACACUAGGAGUCGAUGAAGGACGGGACUAACGCCGAUAUGCUUCGGGGAGCUGUAAGUAAGCUUUGAUCCGAAGAUUUCCGAAUGGGGAAACCCACCAUACGUAAUGGUAUGGUAUCCUUAUCUGAAUACAUAGGGUAAGGAAGACAGACCCAGGGAACUGAAACAUCUAAGUACCUGGAGGAAGAGAAAGCAAAUGCGAUUUCCUGAGUAGCGGCGAGCGAAACGGAACAUAGCCCAAACCAAGAGGCUUGCCUCUUGGGGUUGUAGGACAUUCUAUACGGAGUUACAAAGGAACGAGGUAGACGAAGCGACCUGGAAAGGUCCGUCGUAGAGGGUAACAACCCCGUAGUCGAAACUUCGUUCUCUCUUGAAUGUAUCCUGAGUACGGCGGAACACGUGAAAUUCCGUCGGAAUCUGGGAGGACCAUCUCCCAAGGCUAAAUACUCCCUAGUGAUCGAUAGUGAACCAGUACCGUGAGGGAAAGGUGAAAAGCACCCCGGAAGGGGAGUGAAAGAGAUCCUGAAACCGUGUGCCUACAAAUAGUCAGAGCCCGUUAACGGGUGAUGGCGUGCCUUUUGUAGAAUGAACCGGCGAGUUACGAUCCCGUGCGAGGUUAAGCUGAAGAGGCGGAGCCGCAGCGAAAGCGAGUCUGAAUAGGGCGUUUAGUACGUGGUCGUAGACCCGAAACCAGGUGAUCUACCCAUGUCCAGGGUGAAGUUCAGGUAACACUGAAUGGAGGCCCGAACCCACGCACGUUGAAAAGUGCGGGGAUGAGGUGUGGGUAGCGGAGAAAUUCCAAUCGAACCUGGAGAUAGCUGGUUCUCCCCGAAAUAGCUUUAGGGCUAGCCUUAAGUGUAAGAGUCUUGGAGGUAGAGCACUGAUUGGACUAGGGGUCCUCAUCGGAUUACCGAAUUCAGUCAAACUCCGAAUGCCAAUGACUUAUCCUUAGGAGUCAGACUGCGAGUGAUAAGAUCCGUAGUCAAAAGGGAAACAGCCCAGACCGCCAGCUAAGGUCCCAAAGUGUGUAUUAAGUGGAAAAGGAUGUGGAGUUGCUUAGACAACUAGGAUGUUGGCUUAGAAGCAGCCACCAUUUAAAGAGUGCGUAAUAGCUCACUAGUCGAGUGACUCUGCGCCGAAAAUGUACCGGGGCUAAAUACACCACCGAAGCUGCGGAUUGAUACCAAUGGUAUCAGUGGUAGGGGAGCGUUCUAAGGACAGUGAAGUCAGACCGGAAGGACUGGUGGAGUGCUUAGAAGUGAGAAUGCCGGUAUGAGUAGCGAAAGACGGGUGAGAAUCCCGUCCACCGAAUGCCUAAGGUUUCCUGAGGAAGGCUCGUCCGCUCAGGGUUAGUCAGGACCUAAGCCGAGGCCGUACAGGCGUAGGCGAUGGACAACAGGUUGAUAUUCCUGUACCACCUCUUUAUCGUUUGAGCAAUGGAGGGACGCAGAAGGAUAGAAGAAGCGUGCGAUUGGUUGUGCACGUCCAAGCAGUUAGGCUGAUAAGUAGGCAAAUCCGCUUAUCGUGAAGGCUGAGCUGUGAUGGGGAAGCUCCUUAUGGAGCGAAGUCUUUGAUUCCCCGCUGCCAAGAAAAGCUUCUAGCGAGAUAAAAGGUGCCUGUACCGCAAACCGACACAGGUAGGCGAGGAGAGAAUCCUAAGGUGUGCGAGAGAACUCUGGUUAAGGAACUCGGCAAAAUGACCCCGUAACUUCGGGAGAAGGGGUGCUUUCUUAACGGAAAGCCGCAGUGAAUAGGCCCAAGCGACUGUUUAGCAAAAACACAGCUCUCUGCGAAGCCGUAAGGCGAAGUAUAGGGGGUGACACCUGCCCGGUGCUGGAAGGUUAAGGAGAGGGGUUAGCGUAAGCGAAGCUCUGAACUGAAGCCCCAGUAAACGGCGGCCGUAACUAUAACGGUCCUAAGGUAGCGAAAUUCCUUGUCGGGUAAGUUCCGACCCGCACGAAAGGUGUAACGAUUUGGGCACUGUCUCAACCAGAGACUCGGUGAAAUUAUAGUACCUGUGAAGAUGCAGGUUACCCGCGACAGGACGGAAAGACCCCGUGGAGCUUUACUGUAGCCUGAUAUUGAAUUUUGGUACAGUUUGUACAGGAUAGGCGGGAGCCUUUGAAACCGGAGCGCUAGCUUCGGUGGAGGCGCUGGUGGGAUACCGCCCUGACUGUAUUGAAAUUCUAACCUACGGGUCUUAUCGACCCGGGAGACAGUGUCAGGUGGGCAGUUUGACUGGGGCGGUCGCCUCCUAAAGUGUAACGGAGGCGCCCAAAGGUUCCCUCAGAAUGGUUGGAAAUCAUUCGUAGAGUGCAAAGGCAUAAGGGAGCUUGACUGCGAGACCUACAAGUCGAGCAGGGACGAAAGUCGGGCUUAGUGAUCCGGUGGUUCCGCAUGGAAGGGCCAUCGCUCAACGGAUAAAAGCUACCCCGGGGAUAACAGGCUUAUCUCCCCCAAGAGUCCACAUCGACGGGGAGGUUUGGCACCUCGAUGUCGGCUCAUCGCAUCCUGGGGCUGUAGUCGGUCCCAAGGGUUGGGCUGUUCGCCCAUUAAAGCGGUACGCGAGCUGGGUUCAGAACGUCGUGAGACAGUUCGGUCCCUAUCCGUCGUGGGCGUAGGAAAUUUGAGAGGAGCUGUCCUUAGUACGAGAGGACCGGGAUGGACGCACCGCUGGUGUACCAGUUGUUCUGCCAAGGGCAUAGCUGGGUAGCUAUGUGCGGAAGGGAUAAGUGCUGAAAGCAUCUAAGCAUGAAGCCCCCCUCAAGAUGAGAUUUCCCAUAGCGUAAGCUAGUAAGAUCCCUGAAAGAUGAUCAGGUUGAUAGGUUCGAGGUGGAAGCAUGGUGACAUGUGGAGCUGACGAAUACUAAUAGAUCGAGGACUUAACCAUAUA